rnacentral:misc_RNA from 1 species
UCCCUCAUGGUACUUGUUUGCUAUCGGUUUCACACUAAUAAGUAGCCUUGGGUGAAAAUUACCACCAGCUUUGCGUUCCACUUCCAAGGAACGUGACUCGUAAAACGCAUCCCGUAUACAAAGAACCACACAACUCAGACAGGCAUGUCACCUUCCUCGAAAUCCUUUUCCAAAACAUCUACAUGUGCACCUUUGCUGGAAUAGCAUCUGAAGAAAACAAUUCAAGGUCAUCAACCUUAAUUUCCACUCUAGGCUUAUUCCUGUUCAUUCGCCAUUACUUAAGAAUUCCCAUUUGGUUUCAGAUCCUCCACUCACUUAUAUGCUUAAAUUCAGCAGGUUGCUUUGCUUGAUGUCAUGUUCAUGCGCUUCACAAAAGCAGUCCACAUCAUGUUCACAGCAAUGCAGGUAGCAAGCUCCAAGCACUGCGGCAACAAAGCUUGAUGCAUCAAACAAUAUGGCUUGAUGCACAGUCAUCUUGCUCAAAUAGAAAACAAUAAAAAUGUGAAAACACUGACACAAGCAUGCCCUCAGGAAUGCCCCAAGGGCACUUCUGCGUUCAAUGGUCAAUUGGUUCACGGAAUUCUG